rnacentral:rRNA from 1 species
UACGGGGGGAGCAAGCGUUGUUCGGAUUUACUGGGCGUAAAGGGCGCGUAGGCGGCGCAACAAGUCACUUGUGAAAUCUCCGGGCUUAACUCGGAAAGGUCAAGUGAUACUGUUGUGCUAGAGUGCGGAAGGGGCAACUGGAAUUCUCGGUGUAGCGGUGAAAUGCGUAGAUCUCGAGAGGAACACCGAUGGCGAAGGCAGCUUCUUGGUCCACUCCUGACACUGAGGCACGAAAGCGUGGGGAGCAAACAGG